ACUCCUACGGGAGGCAGCAGUGGGGAAUAUUGCACAAUGGGCGCAAGCCUGAUGCAGCCAUGCCGCGUGUGUGAAGAAGGCCUUCGGUUGUAAUGCANNCUUUCAUGUCGUGAGGAAGGUAGUGUAGUUAAUAGCUGCAUUAUUUGACGUUAGCGACAGAAGAAGCACCGGCUAACUCCGUGCCAGCAGCCGCGGUAAUACGGAGGGUGCGAGCGUUAAUCGGAAUUACUGGGCGUAAAGCGCAUGCAGGUGGUUUGUUAAGUCAGAUGUGAAAGCCGGGCGUCAACCUCGGAAUUGCAUUUGAAACUGGCAGACUAGAGUACUGUAGAGGGG
rnacentral:rRNA from 1 species